rnacentral:piRNA from 1 species
UGUCCAUGAUGUUCCGCAACUACCUACA